GUCAGUCAGUUAGUCAGUGCGCGAGUCAUUGGGCUUUACGAAACCCAAAGGCGCAUUGAAGGUAAAGGUUUGGAUUGUCCAGGCUGAGGUGAGGUCCUGUUGUUUUACUCAUUAAUUCCAAGCUGCGAACAGCAGGCGCAUCACCGGCCCAUCCCAUGACGUAGACAUGUGGCCUUGUGUUAUGUGCACAGUCGGAGCAGAGCAAGAGCUUACAUGUUGAGACCCAAAAGAUGGUGGAAUAUGCUUGCGAAGGUUGAAGCCAGAGGAAACUCUGGUGGAGGAAGGUAGCGAUUCUGACGUACAAAUCGAUCGUAUAACGUGAGUAUAGGAGCGAAAGACUGAUCGAACCAUCUAGUAGCUGGUUCCCUCCGAAGUUUCCCUCAGAAUAGCUCGCAUUCUGAGAUAUAAACAGUUUUUUCUGGUUAAGCCAAUGAUUAGAGACAUUGGGGAGAAAACAUCCUCAACCUAUUCUCAAACUAUAAAUUGAUGUGAAGCUUAACUCGCUUAAAUGGAGUUUUGCACUGAAUGUGAGUGCCAAAAGGUCCAUUUUUGGUAAGCAGAAUUGGCGCCGUGGGAUGAAGCAAACGUGUGGUUAAGUUGCCUAACGCAACGCUCACGAAAUACCACGAAAAGUGUGGCUUGGUUCAGACAGCAGGACGGUGGCCAUGGAAGUCGGAAACUGGUAAGGAGUGUGUAGAAACUCUGCCGAAUCAACCUGCCCUGAAAAUGGAUGGCUCUCGAGCGUUGGAUCUAUACCGUACUGUUGCUGCAAGCUGGGCCUAAGCAGGGGCAGUGCAAACUGACUUGGUCCAGGCAUGGAGUGGUGGCAACGAGUAGAAGGGUCGCUGUGGCUAGCGGGAAGCCCCAGGCGUAAGCCUAGGUGAAGCAACCACAGGCGCAGAUCUUGGUGGUAGUAGCAAAUAUUCAAGUGAGAAACUGGCACUG
rnacentral:ncRNA from 1 species